rnacentral:lncRNA from 1 species
CUGGAAUUUCCCUUGAAGGAACUCAAGAUUUUCCUUUAUUUUCAUGCUCGUUGUUGGGGUGGUACUCACAGGCCUCUGUGAGGGGUCCCUGCCCUGUUUGACUUCCCCCAAACUGGAAGCCAAUGUGGAUACCCCUGAUUUAGAUGAUAGUCCGCUUCUGCCACUUCAUUGAGCUUCAUUUACCUGAUCUGCCACAUGCAAAGGGGUACUGUGAAGAAGAUGCCUGUGAUGAUACGCGGUUGAACAUUGUUUUCACAUUUAAUGACAUAAUGGCUAGUGGACCAGGUCACCUGACAGUACUAGUCAACCUACAGGCUCAAACUGAUUUGUACUUUGGAGGGAAGGAGAAGUGGCUUUGGAAACUGCAACCUUUUCUAAAUCAAGGAGAUGCUGCUUCUGAGAUUGAAAUUCUUAACAAUAUGUUCCUUGUGACCUAUUUGGAUCACAAAUCCAGUUCCUUGCUGAAUGAAAAAUAACAUAUGUGGAA